AUUUGUGGCCAGACCGCCUUGUCAAAGCCUGAUCUCGUCAGGUCUCAGAACCUAAGAGGGGCCGGGCCUGGUUAGUACUAUUGGAGACCGCUGGGAAUAUCAGGUGCCACAGUGG
rnacentral:rRNA from 1 species